rnacentral:lncRNA from 1 species
AGUUUUGCUAUGACUGCAGUCCCCUCGCGGAGCCAGCAUCACCCCUCGCUGCCACCGCCACGCCAGGCCCCCGCCCCGCCCUGCCCGUCCCUGGCCCCAGGUCACCAUGGGCAGCGUCAGCAGCCUUAUCUCCGGCCACAGCUUCCACAGCAAGCACUGCCGGGCCUCGCAGUACAAGCUGCGCAAGUCCUCCCACCUCAAGAAGCUCAACAGGUACUCUGACGGGCUGCUGAGAUUCGGCUUCUCCCAGGACUCCAGUCACAGCAAGUCCAGCUCCAAAAUGGGCAAGAGCGAGGACUUUUUCUACAUCAAGGUCAGCCAGAAGGCCCGGGGCUCCCACCGCCCAGAUUACACGGCACUGUCCAGUGGGGACAUCGGGGGCCAGGCUGGGGUGGACUUUGACCCAUCCACUCCACCCAAGCUCAUGCCCUUCUCCAAUCAGCUAGAAAUGGUAAGUGGGGGUCCCUGGCAGGGAGGAGGACAGGAGUUGGGGGGGGGGGAUGGGAGUUGGGUGGGAAGAGAAAAGGCAGAGAAGGGUACAGUGGUCACCUCUCUCCAGGAGGCCGAAGCAGCAGGGGUGAGGGGGGAAAGUGCAGCCUCAUCACAGAUCAAAGGCUGGACAAGGAAUGAAAGCUGGUCGGUCCCCCUGAGCUGAAUGUCAUGGGUCAGCUCUUCAGCAAAGAGCCAAGGGGAAAUUCAGGCCUCUCUGAGCUAUACAGGGAUGUGCCUGGACUGUCAAGGUAGGACAACCAGUUGCAUUCUCAAAGGCAAAGAGAGGAGAGGGGGGUCUGUUGUCAUCUGCAAGAGCAGCUGGGAGGAGUCAGUAUCUUCUCCCUCCUGCAGACUCCUGGAGGUGCGUCUUCUCAUUUGCUGCCCAGGUGCAGUAGCUCCUUGAUCAAGCCAGGCCUGGAGGCAUCUUUAGCCCAAUAAGGACUGGGAGUUUGUUUAACAAUGAUGUAGGCAAAGAGUCCUGGGAUUUCAGAAGUCUAGGCUUUAUGCCAGCCUCAAGCACUCGUAAGUCCCCAUAGUAGAUACUGAAAACAAUUUUCCUAUCCAGUUCCUGUCCGUCUUGUAGGAGCAGAUCCAUGGCUUUGAUACACAGGUUGAGUAUCCCUUAUCCAAGGAUAAGAUACUGAGGACCAGAGGUGGAAUAUGUAUGAACACAUAAUGAGUUGUCUUGGGGAUGGUGCCCAAGUCAAAACAAGAAUUUGUUUGUUUCAUAUACACCUUAUGCACAGAGCCUGAAGGUAAUUUUACACAGCGUUUUUAAUAAGUUGUGCACAAAUGAAAUUUCAUGAUGUGAAAUGUUCCACUUGGGGCCCCAUGUCAGGUCUCGAAAAGUUUCUGAAUCUGCAGCAUCUUGGAUUUGGGAUAUUCUGAUUCGGUUCAACCUGUACUAGGAAAGGGCCCGUUAUGUUUGCAUAAAUCUUGAAGCCUUUUAAACAAUGUGAAAGGACUCUACCUAUGGAAAUUACAAGUUUAAAAGAGGGCUAUUGUUCCCAGUGAUCCUCCCAGCCGAGCAGAGGAUGUGUUAGGGUUCUUGCUGCAGGAUGACCGGAAGUGGCCACAAAGGGCAAGAGGGAUUGACCAACACACAUGGACCCCUGCUUGUCCAGCCCAGGGCCCUGACCAGAGCAGCAGCUGACAUCUCAGUCAGUGAACAUAAAUGGCAUUUGUCUUCUCAAAGGGGCUGGGACAGGCUGUGGGCAGGUUGCUGUGUCAUAGAACAGUGCCCGUUAAGUUAGUGUAAAGGACAACUGUUAAGGACAUCCCCCAGGUACUGAAGAUUUCCUCCCUUUCAGAUGGUCACCGCAAUAGGCCAGCAAGGCUGUUGACCAAGAAGGGUACCGCCUGGGCUCUGAGCUCCUGUGCCUUGGGAGGUCGGCACACAUACCCCAUGGGGAGGAAGAGGAGGGCAGAGCCAGAGGAAAUACUCGAGGUCAAUAUGGUUCUUUGCCUCCCCAGGGCUCAGACAAGGGGGCAGUGAGGCCCACGGCCUUCAAACCGGUGCUGCCGCGUUCGGGAACCGUCCUCCACUCCUCCCCCGAAAGUGCCAGCCACCAGCUGCACCUGGCCCCUCCGGACAAGCCCAAGGAGCCGGAGCUGAAGCCGGGCCUGUGCUCCGGGGCGCUGUCCGACUCGGGCCGGAACUCCAUGUCCAGCCUGCCCACGCACAGCACCAGCAGCAGCUACCAGCUGGACCCGCUGGUCAUGCCCGUGGGGCCCACCAGCCGUUUCGGGGGCUCGGCGCACAACAUCACGCAGGGCAUCAUCCUGCAGGACAGCAACAUGAUGAGCCUGAAGGCUCUGUCCUUCUCCGACGGGGGCAGCAAGCUGGCCCACCCGGCCAAGGCGGACAAGAGCUCCUCGUGCGUGCGCUCCCCCAUCUCCACGGACGAGUGCACCGUCCAGGAGCUGGAGCAGAAGCUGCGGCAGAGGGAGGGCGCGCUGCAGAAGCUGCAGCGCAGCUUUGAGGAGAAGGAGUUCCCCUCGGGGCCGGCCUUGGAGGAGCGCGCCCGGCGCAGCAGGGACGGCAGCAGGGACGAUCCGGAGGGCCCCGAGCCCAAGAGCAGCAGCAAGCUGAAGCAGGCCUCGCAGAAGAACCAGCGCACGCAGCAAGUGCUGCACCUGCAGGUGCUGCAGCUGCAGCAGGAGAAGUGGCAGCUGCGGCAGGAGCUGGAGAGCCUCAUGAAGGAGCAGGACCUGCUGGAGACCAAGCUCAGGUCCUACGAGCGCGAGAAGACCAACUUCGCGCCUGCACUGGAGGAGACCCAGUGGGAGGUGAGGCUGCAUCACAGUCCGGGGCUGGGGGGUGGCCCGCCCUCUGGUGCCUGUCCGCACACACUAAAGGGCCAGCUUUGUGACCCAGGGAAGAGACUCCCUGGUUAACUGUGAUGGGGACGCACUCAGCUCCCGGUUCCCGCCUCUGUCUCCACCAUCACCCCUGUGGCCUCCGGAACUGAGUUUAUUGGCUGAAUCACUGGGGAACCCAGACACGGAGGCCUAGCCAGGCUGUCUGAG